AACGAACGCUGGCGGCAGGCUUAACACAUGCAAGUCGAACGCCCCGCAAGGGGAGUGGCAGACGGGUGAGUAACGCGUGGGAACAUACCCUUUCCUGCGGGAUAGCUCUGGGAAACUGGAAUUAAUACCGCAUACGCCCUACGGGAAAGAUUUAUCGGGGAAGGAUUGGCCCGCGUUGGAUUAGCUAGUUGGUGGGGUAAAGGCCUACCAAGGCGACGAUCCAUAGCUGGUCUGAGAGGAUGAUCAGCCACAUUGGGACUGAGACACGGCCCAAACUCCUACGGGAGGCAGCAGUGGGGAAUAUUGGACAAUGGGCGCAAGCCUGAUCCAGCCAUGCCGCGUGAGUGAUGAAGGCCUUAGGGUUGUAAAGCUCUUUCACCGAUGAAGAUAAUGACGGUAGUCGGAGGAGAAGCCCCGGCUAACUUCGUGCCAGCCGCCGCAGUAAUAC
rnacentral:rRNA from 1 species